rnacentral:misc_RNA from 1 species
UUUCCGUAGGUGAACCUGCGGAAGGAUCAUUAAAGAAUUUGCCCCGUCCUCUCGAGGAUGGGUCCUCUUCUAAACCGUGUAUACAUACCUUUGUUGCUUUGGCGGGCCGCCGUCUCGGCGUGGGCUUCGGCUGGUCAGUGCUUGCCAGAGGACCCAAAACUCUUAUUAUUAAUGUCGUCUGAGUACUAUAUAAUAGUUAAAACUUUCAACAACGGAUCUCUUGGUUCUG